rnacentral:SRP_RNA from 2 species
CCGUGCUAGACGGGGAGGUAGCGGUGCCCUGUACCCGCAAUCCGCUCCAGCGGGGUUGAAUUCCUUCCUUAGGCUGGCACUCUGUAGGGCUGCCUCAAGUAAGUAGUGUUGACGUCUGGGUCCUGCGCAAUGGGAUUCCAUGAACCAUGUCAGGUCCGGAAGGAAGCAGCAUUAAGUGGACGCUCCCAUGUGCCGCAGGGUAGCCUGGGCCGAGCUAACUGCUUGAGUAACGCUUAUGGAUGCCAGUCGACGGAAGGUGCACGG